GAACGAUGAAGCCUUUCGGGGUGGAUUAGUGGCGAACGGGUGAGUAACACGUGGGCAAUCUGCCCUGCACUCUGGGACAAGCCCUGGAAACGGGGUCUAAUACCGGAUACGACACAUCACUGCAUGGUGAAUGUGUGGAAAGCUCCGGCGGUGCAGGAUGAGCCCGCGGCCUAUCAGCUUGUUGGUGGGGUAAUGGCCUACCAAGGCGACGACGGGUAGCCGGCCUGAGAGGGCGACCGGCCACACUGGGACUGAGACACGGCCCAGACUCCUACGGGAGGCAGCAGUGGGGAAUAUUGCACAAUGGGCGAAAGCCUGAUGCAGCGACGCCGCGUGAGGGAUGACGGCCUUCGGGUUGUAAACCUCUUUCAGCAGGGAAGAAGCGCAAGUGACGGUACCUGCAGAAGAAGCACCGGCUAACUACGUGCCAGCAGCCGCGGUAAUACGUAGGGUGCGAGCGUUGUCCGGAAUUAUUGGGCGUAAAGAGCUCGUAGGCGGCUUGUCACGUCGGAUGUGAAAGCCCGGGGCUUAACCCCGGGUCUGCAUUCGAUACGGGCAGGCUAGAGUUCGGUAGGGGAGAUCGGAAUUCCUGGUGUAGCGGUGAAAUGCGCAGAUAUCAGGAGGAACACCGGUGGCGAAGGCGGAUCUCUGGGCCGAUACUGACGCUGAGGAGCGAAAGCGUGGGGAGCGAACAGGAUUUAGAUACCCUG
rnacentral:rRNA from 1 species